rnacentral:rRNA from 1 species
UGCAUAUCCAAAAAGCGGAGGAAAAGAAACUAACAAGGAUUCCCCUAGUAACUGCGAGUGAAGCGGGAAAAGCUCAAAUUUAAAAUCUGGUGGUCUUUGGCCAUCCGAGUUGUAAUCUAGAGAAGUGUUAUCCGCGCUGGACCGUGUACAAGUCCCCUGGAAUGGGGCGUCAUAGAGGGUGAGAAUCCCGUCUUUGACACGGACUACCAGGGCUUUGUGAUGCACUCUCAAAGAGUCGAGUUGUUUGGGAAUGCAGCUCAAAAUGGGUGGUAAAUUCCAUCUAAAGCUAAAUAUUGGCGAGAGACCGAUAGCGAACAAGUACCGUGAGGGAAAGAUGAAAAGAACUUUGGAAAGAGAGUUAAACAGUACGUGAAAUUGUUGAAAGGGAAACGCUUGAAGUCAGUCGCGUCUGCCAGGGAUCAACCUUACUUUUGUGAGGCGUACUUCCUGGUUGAUGGGUCAGCAUCAGUUUUGGUCGCUGGAUAAAGGUCAGAGAAAUGUGGCACCUUCGGGUGUGUUAUAGUCUUUGAUCAGAUACAGUGGCUGGGACUGAGGAACUCAGCGCCGCAAGGCUGUCUUAGGAUGCUGGCAAAAUGGCUUUAAUCGACCCGUCUUGAAACACGGACCAAAGGAGUC